rnacentral:lncRNA from 13 species
AAUCCCUGCAACUUUGAGCAAAUUCAUGAAUCUCACUAAGGGUCAGUUUGCCCCAUAGAGUUAUGCAAUAGCAGGGCCUCUGCAUUGGAGAACUCCAGAGGGCACCAUUGGGUUAUAUUUUAUGUUUGCCUAACCUUCAUUGCAGUGAGUAGGUGCAUUCUUUCCACAAUGUCCUGAGGUCUAAAGGGGUAGAGUUCUGUGUGUGGCAUUUGAGUCCUGAAAAGAUGGGAGCCCACAAAACUGGAGAAAUACUGCAGACAGAGUCUUGCUCUGUCGCCAGGUUGGAGUGCAGCACCACGAUCUCGGCUCACUGCCACCUCCGCCUCCUGGGUUCAAGCAAUUCGUCUGCCUCAGCCUCCCAAGUAGCUGGAACUACAGGCACAUGCGAUCAUGCCUGGCUAAUUUUAGUAGAAAUGGGUUUCACCAUAUUGGCUAGGCUGGUCUCGAACUCCUGACCUUGUGAUCCGCCUGCCUCAGCCUCCCAAAGUGCUAGGAUUACAGGCACAAGCCACCACAACUGGCCAAAUACAUUUAUUUUUAAAGGAAGAUCUCUGUCACAAACAUAAAUGGGACUGGGAUCUCUGCCAUAAAUAGAAAGUAUCUGAAAAAUAAAACAAUGUUAUUAAAUUCCA